UGCUUUUUCUACAGUUUGAAAUGUUGUUGCCAUGGACUUUUUCAUGAACUUGAAAACUUCAGCGCCUUCUCCUCUAUCAGCUUUCUUUGUAUUUAAACCCUGACCCUGGUCUUAUGGUACAAGAACAGACUUAGUCUUCAAAAUUAGCUGUUUGCUUGAGCUGUAUUUUACUUCACUUCAGAUGAGCUGUACAGUACCAUGUGUCAAAUAAAUAAGAAUUAGAAUAAAUACAAUUUAGGAAUUAAAUGAUUUAAGAUUUUAGAAUCUCUAGAAUUACCUUCUGGCCUGUGGUGAUGGUGAGUGACAACAAGUGUGUGAGGUGAUUUCUGGAGAGUGUGAGGUGAUUUCUGGAGAGUGUGAGGUGAUUUCUGGAGAGUGUGAGGUGAUUUCUGAAGAGUGUGAGGUGAUUUCUGGAGAGAGUGAGAUGAUUUCUGGAGAGUGUGAGGUGAUUUCGGGACCACAAUGGCCACAUUACUGAGAGGUAUGAUCAUCUAACAUCAACUGGUGGGACAUGUAAUAAGCAGUGUGGCCAAUGAGGAUGCGAUUGCUGUGUCAAAUGAAACCCUCUAAAGGUCACCGGUUCAGUAACGGCUACAUCCUAUA
ensembl:lncRNA